UCCUACAGUGAUGUCAUUAUACAGGUCUGUCUUCAGAAUAAUUCUAAACUUUGCCUACUGUUGAAGGAGAUGCUGGUUAUUGUGAUGGGCCACCAACAUGAGGCCAGUGCCACGGCACCUUUUUGGGAAAUGAUGCAAUUUGGGUGCUUGCAACCAGUUCUCUGGAGGUGUUAAGAGUAAAGGCUGAGUCCGUUGUAGCUGAACAAAAGGGAUAUGAAAGAGACUGUGGAAGAAAUUGUGGCACUGAGAACGGAAGACUUAGUGGAGUUGUAGAGGUGUGUCAGAUGGGAUUCGUCUUCAUGACUGUGAGCUGCCCUUUUGUGCAGCUUCCUAUUGCUUAGAUCACUUCAGCUCCCAGCAAACUGAAGAAUACUCACUUUGUUCAAGCCCAUGAGUUGCAACUGACUUAAUUGCUUAGAAAAAUAUCUUUGCAGGGCAAAACAAAAGCAGACAAAAUGCUCCAAGAGUGCAGAAGAGUAGACUAAAAGUGAACUGGCA